rnacentral:lncRNA from 1 species
CAGCCAAAAGGCAAACAAAUUGAUGUGAACCUCUUAAUUUUAAAACUUGAAGAUUUCUGUGGAAUUAGUGACACACAAUUUGCAUACAGACAAUUAAACGAGCCUUCUAAUCACUCAUCAUGAUGGAAAGUCUUUUGGAUGCUACCCACAGGAUCAGUUAUUUUUAUAACCCUCGGCUGUUUUAAGUUAUUUUUUGAAUUACUCUCUCUCACUGCAGCUUGACGUUACUUAGUAUAGAGCUGAAAAAAGAAAAUGUGCUAUAUCUAAAAACCAGGAAAAAACAAGAAAAAGGCCUAAGGUUCCAAAAGCAAUGUUGUCAUAGCUACAUUAGGCCUACUAAUUACCAUAUCAGAAAUUUCUCUGAAAGUGGUGUUGGGAAAGACAAUAACGAGGCUCUGUAUCUCAGAGCACUGUCCAAACGCUCCCUGAACUCCAGCACUGGGGCCGUGCCCACAGCCCUGUGCAGGCUGUUCCAUGCCCACCGCCCUGUGGUGCAGAGCCUUUCCCUCACCCCCAGCUGCCCUCCCCUGCCGCAGCUCCAUGCCGUUCCCUCGGGCCUGUCGCUGUCACACAGAGCAGAGCUCAGCGCUGCCCUCCGCUCCCUGUGAGGAGCUGCAGCCGCCAUCAGGCCUCCCCUCAGCUGCUCUGCUCUGGGCUGCAAGCUCAGGUCCCCUUUCUGCACAGAUGUGGGCAUGUUUAACCUUAUGCGCAGGGCAGUUAUAGGAGAGAGCAUCCUUCCAGCUCAUCUGCAUACUAUUAGGAAGGUGCUCAAGCAGAGCAGGUAAGUGCUGGCGUGCUUGAUAGGAUCAGCUGGUCAGACUUGCCUACAGCCCCACACCACUGACUGGGAAAAGUGCCCACUUGCUAAUGAGCGCUCAGGCAUAGCAAUUAGAUUGUAAGCACUCUGGAUUAGCACCAUCUGCACCAUGCUCAUAUAGUACCUGCUACAGAAGGCCCUCAGUCCAUACUGCUGGUAAGUCCCACUACACAAACACCCAGAGCAAGGAGAUCACGCUUUUCCUGAUCUCUGCAUGUCUUUUUGGAGAAAGUGGGGGAAAUGAUCAUUUUCAAAAGAACAUCAUGUUACAGCAGCUCUCAGCGUAGCUCAGUGCUGAACUCAGUAAAACUUUCCAGCUGAGAAGCAGAAAAGAGGCAU